rnacentral:rRNA from 1 species
UACGUAGGGUGCGAGCGUUACUCGGAAUUACUGGGCGUAAAGCGUGCGUAGGCGGUCCGCAAAGUCUGAUGUGAAAGCCCCGGGCUCAACCUGGGAACUGCAUUGGAAACUAACGGGCUCGAGUGUGGCAGAGGGGGGUGGAAUUCCACGUGUAGCAGUGAAAUGCGUAGAGAUGUGGAGGAACACCGAUGGCGAAGGCAGCCCCCUGGGCUAACACUGACGCUCAGGCACGAAAGCGUGGGGAGCAAACAGG